UACAUGGGGUGCAACCGUUGCUCGGAAUUAUUGGGCGUAAAGCGCACGUAGGCGGUUCGUUAAGUCGGAUGUGAAAGCCCUCGGCUCAACUGAGGAAGUGCACCCGAAACUGGCGAGCUUGAGUACGAAAGAGGAUCGCGGAAUUCCCGGUGUAGAGGUGAAAUUCGUAGAUAUUCGCAAGAACACCAGUGGCGAAGGCGGCUCACUGGUCCGGUACUGACGCUGAGGCACGAAAGCGUGGGGAGCAAACAGG
rnacentral:rRNA from 1 species